AUGCACGCUGGCGGCGUGCCUCAUACAUGCAAGUCGCGCGAACAGACGAGGAGCUUGCUCCUCUGACGUUAGCGGCGGACGGGUGAGUAACACGUGGAUAACCUACCUAUAAGACUGGGAUAACUUCGGGAAACCGGAGCUAAUACCGGAUAAUAUAUUGAACCGCAUGGUUCAAUAGUGAAAGACGGUUUUGCUGUCACUUAUAGAUGGAUCCGCGCCGCAUUAGCUAGUUGGUAAGGUAACGGCUUACCAAGGCAACGAUGCGUAGCCGACCUGAGAGGGUGAUCGGCCACACUGGAACUGAGACACGCUCCAGACUCCUACGGGAGGCAGCAGUAGGGAAUCUUCCUCAAUGGGCGAAAGCCUGACGGAGCAACGCCGCGUGAGUGAUGAAGGUCUUCGGAUCGUAAAACUCUGUUAUUAGGGAAGAACAAAUGUGUAAGUAACUAUGCACGUCUUGACGGUACCUAAUCAGAAAGCCACGGCUAACUUCGUG
rnacentral:rRNA from 1 species